CAGCAAUCCACCAAUCAGGCCUGUAUGGUAGACUGCUGCAAAGUGGAAUUGGCAAAACUGGCCAACGUGGGUGCACCAAGCUUGUGGCAUCAUAUUCAAGAAAAUUUGAGGCUGUAGUUGGUGCCAAAGUUGCAUCAUCAAAGUAUUGAUCAAAGGGUGUGAAUACUUAUGUA